rnacentral:rRNA from 1 species
ACCCUGGUCCAGCAAUGCCGCGUGAGUGAAGAAGGCCUUCGGGUUGUAAAGCUCUUUUGUCAGGGAAGAAACGGGAGUGGCUAAUAUCUGCUUCUAAUGACGGUACCUGAAGAAUAAGCACCGGCUAACUACGUGCCAGCAGCCGCGGUAAUACGUAGGGUGCAAGCGUUAAUCGGAAUUACUGGGCGUAAAGCGUGCGCAGGCGGUUUUGUAAGUCUGUUGUGAAAUCCCCGGGCUUAACCUGGGAAUGGCAAUGGAGACUGCAAGGCUAGAGUUUGGCAGAGGGGGGUAGAAUUCCACGUGUAGCAGUGAAAUGCGUAGAGAUGUGGAGGAACACCGAUGGCGAAGGCAGCCCCCUGGGUCAAGACUGACGCUCAUGCACGAAAGCGUGGGGAGCAAACAGGAUUAGAUACCCUGGUAGUCCACGCCCUAAACGAUGUCUACUAGUUGUCGGGUCUUAAUUGACUUGGUAACGCAGCUAACGCGUGAAGUAGACCGCCUGGGGAGUACGGUCGCAAGAUUAAAACUCAAAGGAAUUGACGGAAGCCGCAUU